CAGAGGACCUGAUCCCUGCCAAGCCCCUCUCCCAAUAGAAAGCUACUGCUCAGACCCAGUUGAACAGACUCCCCCUGUAGGGGUGGGGGCUGUUCUAAAGGUCAUCUGACUUCAACAGGCCAGCUACCUCCUACAGGCCUGGUGGUGGCCUAAAGCAGGCGAGAGCAAAGAAAACAAGGAAGAGGAGAAGGGGAAAAGAGCUAAAACUAAGAAAAAAAGGAUAAAACAAGCAAACAAACAAAAAUUAAAAGGAAGGGAAAACAAAUAGAAAUACAUAAAAUUCUCCCCUGACUCAGCUGUCCUGACCUGACCUGGCCCCAGAUUCACCCCAGCGCCUCUUUGCCCUUGGAGCCCAACCAGAGAUACCCUCCAAGAGCAUUGAGUGCGAUAGACAGAUGAGACACCAAAAGAGCUACUAGAGAGGUGAAAAAGAGCCUUCACACCUGACUGGAACCUUCUGGUAGAGUACAGUGUCUCACAUCUUAUAUUCAUUUUGGGUGAAAAUCUAAAUAUUUCUGUGCUGGGCUACGCCUCCAAUGUCUCAAGAUCCUCAAGAUAUAUAUACACACACACACACACACAUAUAUAUAUAAAAUACACACUGGACGGUUAAAACACUAAUGUCAAUUUAAAAAAAACUUUAGCUCCACUUUUUGCUGAAGAGUUUUUGCUAGCUACUUAUUUUAUGGUCCUUUUUCUGACAUUAUUAUUUGAUGCUGCACGUCAAUUAAUGCUGGUGCGGGUCGACCUAGCGUAGCUCCUACUCCCCCGGUAGUUCCCGAGCAGCCGGUAAGCCAGGGUGGCUAGGUGACUGUCAGAAAUAAACAUUGCCCUAAGCAGAAGCCCACAGUUCACCACUAACCAGUUCACAUUUCAAACAGGUUCUCCCCACUCAGCGACACACCUGCUGAGAAACAAACUCUGAUUAUUGGCAGCUCCAUAGUGAGAAACGUGAAGUUAGCAACACCAGUAGCCAUAGUCAGAGCGGGCGACAUAGCCAGAGCGGGUGACAUAGAAUCAAAUUUAAAACUGCUGGCGAAGGGUAACAUAAAUAUGGUACGAUUGUUAUUCAUUUCGGCGGUAACGACUCCCGAUUACGCCAAUUGGAGGUCACCAAAAUUAAUGUUGAGUCGGUGUGUGCGUAUGCGAAGACAAUGUCUGGGCCCCUGCCUAAUCUGACCAGUGAUGGCAUGUCACAAUUCAACCGCUGGCUGUCGUGGUGGUGUCCAGCAA